CAAAGUGUAGCUUAGAUAAAGCACCUAGUUUACACCUAGAGAUUUCAACUCAAACUGAACACUUUGA
rnacentral:tRNA from 1 species